UGUGUGUGGUGUAUAAAGGUGUGGUAGUUUAAAGGACGUUUGACUGGCCCUGAGUUCUCCUCUGCAGGCUUCGCCCGAGGAGAGGAGCCAGGCGAGAAGAAGGUAGUCGCCAGCGGAGACCCGUGGACUGUCAUUUUAACCUCCUACUCCUGUUCUGCCGCAUUAUUUUAGCUUGAUUUUAGUUGGUUGUGCUUUUUGCUUUUAAUUUCUUUUAAGGAGGAACUCUAAUUGUUUCAUUCCUCUUAAAAUAAAUUUGGUUAUCCCUCUAA